UACGUAGGGCGCAAGCGUUGUCCGGAAUUAUUGGGCGUAAAGAGCUCGUAGGUGGCGUGUCGCGUCUGCCGUGAAAGCCCAUGGCUUAACUGUGGGUCUGCGGUGGAUACGGGCAGGCUGGAGGCUGGUAGGGGCAAGCGGAAUUCCUGGUGUAGCGGUGAAAUGCGCAGAUAUCUGGAGGAACACCGGUGGCGAAGGCGGCAUCCUGGACCGGCAUUGACGCUGAGGCGCGAAAGCUAGGGGAGCAAACGGG
rnacentral:rRNA from 1 species